CUACCUUGACGAAUUGUAGUUUAAAGAAGUGUUUUCUGUUAGAUGAGUAGCAAAAGUUCCUUGGAAUGGGACAUCAUAGAGGGUGAGAAUCCCGUAUUUGGUUAUUCAUUCUAGCUUUGUGAUACACUUUCAAAGAGUCGGAUUGUUUGGGAAUGCAGUCCAAAAUGGGUGGUAAAUUUCAUCUAAAGCUAAAUAUUGGCGAGAGACCGAUAGCGAACAAGUACCGUGAGGGAAAGAUGAAAAGAACUUUGAAAAGAGAGUUAAACAGUACGUGAAAUUGUCAAAAGGGAAGCGUUUGACACCAGUGUUGUUUUUCCGAAAAUCAAUUACGAAUGGCUUGAUUUUGUGUUGUAUUGACCUUAUCAGCUUUCUUCACUUUUUUCGAGUCUUUCUUAAUGCACUUUUCGGUUAACAAGUCAACAUCAAUUUCUUUUGUUGUAAAAGAGUAUUCGGAAGGUGGCUUUCUUUUCGGAGAAAGUGUUUAUAGCCCUAUACUUCUACAAUCGGAGAGAUUGAGGUCUGCAGCGUAGAUCCUUCGGGGUUAGAUACAUUUGUGCUAAGUUGUAGCUUUUCAUAGACAACUUGUUGACUAUGUUUAGUCAUGCGGCUUACUCGCUUAUGCUAUUUUACCUACGCUUAGGAUGUUGACAAAAUGGUUUUAAACGACCCGUCUUGAA
rnacentral:rRNA from 1 species